rnacentral:tRNA from 1 species
GCGGAUAUAGCUCAGUUGGUAGAGUGCUUCAGCCUUGCAUGCACAAGGCCCUGGGUUCGAUCCCCAGAACUGCU